rnacentral:rRNA from 1 species
GAUGAACGCUGGCGGCGUGCCUAAUACAUGCCAGUCGAGCGAACAGACGCGGAGCUUGCUCCUCUGACGUUAGCGGCGGACGGGUGAGUAACACGUGGAUAACCUACCUAUAAGACUGGGAUAACUUCGGGAAACCGGAGCUAAUACCGGAUAAUAUAUUGAACCGCAUGGUUCAAUAGUGAAUGUCGGUUUUGCUGUCACUUAUAGCUGGAUCCGCGCCGCAUUAGCUGGUUGGUAAGGUCACGGCUUACCAAGGCAACGAUGCGUAGCCGACCUGAGAGGGUGAUCGGCCACACUGGAGCGGAGACACGGUCCAGACUCCUACGGGAGGCAGCAGUAGGGAAUCUUCCGCAAUGGGCGGAAGCUUGACGGAGCAACGCCGCGUGAGUGAUGAAGGUCUUCGGAUCGUAAAACUCUGUUAUUAGGGAAGAACAAAUGUGUAAGUAACUAUGCACGUCUUGACGGUACCUGAUCAGAAAGCCACGGCUAACUACGUG